rnacentral:rRNA from 1 species
UACGUAGGGUGCGAGCGUUAAUCGGAAUUACUGGGCGUAAAGCGUGCGCAGGCGGUUUUGUAAGCCAGAUGUGAAAUCCCCGGGCUCAACCUGGGAAUGGCAUUUGGGACUGCAAGGCUGGAGUGCGGCAGAGGAGACUGGAAUUCCUGGUGUAGCAGUGAAAUGCGUAGAUAUCAGGAGGAAUACCGAUGGCGGAAGGCAGGUCUCUGGGCUGACACUGACG